CCUACGGGAGGCAGCAGUGAGGAAUAUUGGUCAAUGGGCGCGAGCCUGAACCAGCCAAGUCGCGUGAGGGAUGACGGCCCUACGGGUUGUAAACCUCUUUUGCCGGGGAGCAACGGGCGCCACGUGUGGCGCCCCUGAGAGUACCCGGAGAAAAACCAUCGGCUAACUCCGUGCCAGCAGCCGCGGUAAUACGGAGGAUGCGAGCGUUCUCCGGAUUUAUUGGGUUUAAAGGGUGCGUAGGCGGCUCGUUAAGUCAGUGGUCAAAUUGAGGGGCUCAACCCCUGCCCGCCAGUGAAACUGGCGCUCUUGAGUGGAAGGGAGGUAUGCGGAAUGCGGGGUGUAGCGGUGAAAUGCAUAGAUAUCACGCAGAACCCCGAUUGCGAAGGCAGCAUGCCGGCUUCCGACUGACGCUGAAGCACGAAAGCGUGGGGAUCGAACAGGAUUAGAUACCCCUGUAGUC
rnacentral:rRNA from 1 species